GUGUGCUCUUCCGAUCUCUGGCCCUUGACCCAGCUGCCUAACGAGAGCCUCUUAAGGUGUUGGUCGAGGCUCUUGGCCAUUAGUCCAUUCGCUGAAACGACUAUCGGCACAAUAACUGCUGUAUCCACAUCCCACAUGUCGACAACCUCGUGAGCUAAGUCGAGAUAUUUUAUUUGCUUAUCUUU